rnacentral:rRNA from 1 species
UACGGAGGGGGCUAGCGUUGUUCGGAAUUACUGGGCGUAAAGCGCGCGUAGGCGGCUUUGUAAGUUAGAGGUGAAAGCCCAGGGCUUAACCCUGGAAUUGCCUUUAAGACUGCAUCGCUAGAAUCGUGGAGAGGUGAGUGGAAUUCCGAGUGUAGAGGUGAAAUUCGUAGAUAUUCGGAAGAACACCAGUGGCGAAGGCGACUCACUGGACACGUAUUGACGCUGAGGUGCGAAAAGCGUGGGGAGCAAACAGG